AAGCCUACAGAGAGUAGGAAACCUAAAGCUCUACAUAAGUCUCCGUAGUGAAAAUCAGUUGCGGCUCAGGAGACAGGAUGUCGUUACCUGUACU
rnacentral:ncRNA from 1 species